UUUAGUUGCCAUCAUUGAGUUGGGCACUCUAAGAGACUGCCGGUGGUCAAACCGGAGGAAGGUGGGGAUGACGUCAAGUCCUCAUGGCCUUUAUGACCAGGGCUACACACGUACUACAAUGGCCGGUACAAAGGGCAGCGACACAGCGAUGUGAAGCCAAUCCCGAAAAGCCGGUCUCAGUCCGGAUUGGAGUCUGCAACUCGACUCCAUGAAGUUGGAAUCGCUAGUAAUCGCGGAUCAGCACGCCGCGGUGAAUACGUUCCCGGGCCUU
rnacentral:rRNA from 1 species